UACGAAGGGGGGCUAGCGUUGUUCGGAAUUACUGGGCGUAAAGCGCGCGCAGGCGGUCUUCCAAGUCAGUGGUGAAAGCCCGGAGCUCAACUCCGGAAUUGCCAUUGAAACUGUGAGACUGGGAGUACGAGAGAGGUGAGUGGAAUUCCCAGUGUAGAGGUGAAAUUCGUAGAUAUUGGGAAGAACACCAGUGGCGAAGGCGGCUCACUGGCUCGUAACUGACGCUCAGGCGCGACAGCGUGGGGAUCAAACAGG
rnacentral:rRNA from 1 species